CACUCAACUUUACACACUGAGUAACUGCAUUGAUCUCAAUGGAACUACUCAUGGUGGGUAAACAAGUCUUGAGCAUGUAAACAAGUCUUUACAGGAUCAGGGCCUAAAUGAUUAACAUUCUCAGCUGCUAUAAUGACCACUUAUAACUUAUCAAACUUCACUCCAGACACUGCCUCAAACUAUACUGUAUUGGGGUGGGGGAAAUCAGGCACAAACAAGAUGGGCCUCAAUGCAAGUCACUAAAGUUAACAGGACUUUUUCAACUCAUUUCAAGGGAUCAGGUCUUAUAAGCAUAAUUUAAUCUCUCACUGUUGUGGCCAUUAUUUUUCAACACUCCGUCAUUUUUUCAUUCUUUGUUGCUGUAGAUUGAAAACUUCUUGGGAAGGGAAUCUGUAGCUUUAUUGCUUCGUAAAGCACAAUGCAUAUACAUAUAAAUAGUAAGUUUUACUCCUUCUUGGUAAGAUUUUCAAAUGGGUACUCUAGCUGAAUAACACAACCUAUUCAAAUCCUAUAGAAAUCCUAUGUCUAGAGACCAUGGGAAUUAGAACUAGAAAUGAGUAUUAACUUUCAGUCAGGAUAAGACAAUAUAAAGAUUUAGUUCUUUCUCACUUACAUUAAACCAUUGCAGGUAAUUCACAGUACACUGUGUAAAUGAUAGCAAUAUUAGUGACUAUACGCAUUCAUAGGACCAAAUUGUGCCCUUUGUGGUGGGUGACAUCCCAUUCAAAGUAAGGAACACAGCAUGGACACUGAACACAGAAUUUAGCUCCCUAUUACCAAACCUGAGGAUGUAAAAACCUGAUGAUUAAACAUAUUUAAUAUUUUUCAGAAGUAAAAAAUAUAUUCAUAAAUAUCACAGUGAUAAUGAGAAGUGUAAAGGUUAACCCACAAAUAAAGUUUCAAGAUUAAAGAGGUUUCAUCAGAAUUUAGAAAAUAUUUUGACUUCAGUGUUGGGGUGAUAAUACAUUUAUAAUCAUUUUUAAAUUGGUUUGGAGAGGUAAGAGGAAGAAGUCAAAUUGGAACUUAUUUGCAGUUUGGAAAUGUCUAAUCAGAUGUUGAGUUCUUUAAGAAAUAACAGUAAUAAUAAUACUUAGCAUUUUAUCGCACUUUCUGUAUUCAAAGCACUGUGCAGACAUUGAUGGACUACUCCUCACAAUACUCCUGUGAGAUAGUUUCAUCUACAGAAAAUGACUCACCCUGGUAAGCAAUCCCCACACACUGCAUUGCUGGUGGCAGAACAGUUGGACUUCUGAAACCGGUUAACUACUGCACAGUCCAGACAAGUUUCCAACACAGUUCUGGAAAAGCUGCAAGACCUCUGUGAAUCAGGAGAAGAUUCCCUUUGCAAGAUAUCUGAAGUACUAUGGGCACUGGGCUUUGUUCUACAUAUAGCUCCUUGCAUGCCAGUUCUGACAGUAGCAGUUACACGUAGCUAGCCUUUGUUUAUAUAGCUUUUUGUCACGUUUUAGAAAUAAGUGUAAUUGUGUGCGAAGCCAAACCCGCCACAUUUGAAGUUACAUGUCUGCUGAUGAAAAACCUCUGCAGACACUGAAUAAGUUCCAGUAAGUCAAUACAGGGAAGGAGAGUCCUCUACCAAAACCUCUGUAGCCUAUGGGAAAGUUCCCUGAGCUGUAAAACAGGAGAUCAUGGGUUUAAAUCUUACCUCUGUUAACUUGGGGAUAUAGACAACUUGCUUUUAUUAGGUGGGGCUAGAGUUAAAAAAAUAAUAGCUUGUGACUUCCCUUUAUUUAGUAGUUCU